GAAAGGGAUUUCCAACAACCUUAUUUUCAGAAACUUCAAAAAAGAGAAAACACUAGCUCAAUUUUACGCACUUUCUCAAUGGCUCCAAAGAAACACCAGCUCCAAAUGCUUCCUGCAGCAGCUGCUAAUGCUUGGGGGAUCAGAACCACCUUUCAUUCCCUCAUUGCCCUCCUCCUCGCCGUUCUCGUCGUAAUCGCCCUUUAUCUAACCCAAAAGAGUGGAGAGCUCAUGCAAGAUAGGACUACUAGUAAAAGUUCAGGUGACUUGCUUGCCAGGUGCAAUUUGUUCUCCGGCAAGUGGGUUUUCGAUAACAAAACUUACCCUUUAUACAAAGAGCAAAAGUGCACUUUCAUGUCUGAUCAGUUGGCCUGUCAAAAGUUCGGCAGAAAGGAUUUCAACUACCAGAAUUGGAGGUGGCAGCCUUACCAAUGUGACCUUCCAAGGUUCAAUGCCACGGCAUUGCUUGAGAGGCUAAGGAACAAGAGGCUUAUGUUUGUGGGGGAUUCGCUGAACAGAGGUCAAUGGGUUUCAAUGGUGUGUCUAGUGGACUCCUCCAUUCCUCCUGCCAAAAAAUCCAUGUACCAGAAUGGUUCACUGGCGACGUUCAAGGCCAUUGAAUAUAAUGCAACAAUCGAGUUGUACUGGGCUCCAUUACUAGUGGAAUCAAACUCUGAUGAUCCAGUAAACCAUCGUGUACCUGAUCGGAUUGUCAGAGUUCAGGCAAUUGAAAAGCAUGCUAGGCAUUGGACUGAUGCAGAUAUACUCGUUUUUAAUAGCUUUCUUUGGUGGAGAAGGUCCCAAAUGAAAGUUCUGUGGGGAUCAUUUGAAGGACCAGAUGCAAUUUACAAAGCAGUAAAGAUGCCAAGAGUUUAUGAGAUGGCUUUGAAGACUUGGGCUGAUUGGCUAGAGGUGCACAUUAACCGAACCAAAACACAAUUGUUCUUCGUCAGCAUGUCGCCAACUCACCAAAAGUAUGUGAGAGACUAAGACCCUCUUCUUUAUUCUCUGCUCAGCUCCUAAAUGUAAUAACUUUAUCCUUGCAGGGCUGCAGAGUGGGGUGGAGCUAAAGGUGAAAACUGCUAUGGCGAAACAGAGCAAGUGUUCAAAGAGGGAUACAGGGGACAAGCUACCUGUCCAGAAAUGAUGAAGGUGGUGGAUAGAGUUCUGGAUGACUUGAAAACAAGAGGCUUGAAUGUGCAGAUGAUCAAUAUUACACAGCUCUCAGAAUACAGAAAAGAAGGGCAUCCAUCUAUUUACAGAAAGCAAUGGGAACCCUUAACAGAAGAUCAAAUAUCCAACCCAAAAACUUAUGCAGAUUGCAUACAUUGGUGCCUCCCUGGAGUGCCUGAUGUGUGGAAUGAGCUUCUUUAUGCUCACAUUAUUAAUCUUUGAUACAUUCCAACUUAAUUCCAAUUCAAAUUAACUUGGAAAUCUUUUUCUUUUUCCUUUUCAAUUCCUGAAAAUUUAUUCAAGAAACCCCAGCAACUUUGGGAGUUUCCCAAGCGAACGCAUGUUAUUUUAUUUACUUUUAAUUAACAGCUUUACAUGUGAACAAUAUCAUAUGAAAAUAUCAGUCCCUAAAAUAUUUAUUACCUGU
rnacentral:misc_RNA from 1 species